GUGGGUGAUUGUUUCCUGUCUAUGCACCAGAUAGGACUGGUUUCACAUUUGUUGUUUUGUAAUUUGAAGUGUUCAGUUGGGAUUUCUUAUUAAAGAAGAUGAACACUCACCACGCUGCGAUUUGGUCUUCUCUUUGCCAGGAAGAAAGCGUUACAGAAAUGUAACAACACUGUUUGACAUAGCUAGAAUUUCUGGAUUUUCAUCGUAAAAAAAAAAAAAAAAACAUUAUGAUAACAUUCCACCCAUGAAUCCAAAUAGGGCACUUAUGGUCAUUGACUGCAGGAAAGGGCUACAAAGCUAACUACUUUCAUUAGCUAUCAAUAUGCACUUGAUUAAGUUGUCACUGAUUUUGUUUUUGGAUUCUCAAACAGCCGACGAAAUGGAGCUCGAAGAAGCACACCUCAUCAACCCCAACAACCCCAACAACUUCCCUACGAAACUGCCUGGUGAAUAACCCCAAAAAUCAAUCAAUCUGUUGGGAUCCCUGUGGUGUUAAAGCAGAGCUGCUGUCACCUCAGAAGCAAAUGUUUGACACCAUCGACUGUUUCAAAACGACCAACUUUACAAGUUUAAACCGCCAGCUGAAUCUUUGUCGGUUCAGGAAGAUGGCCCCAGGGGCUCGGGAAAAGAAUGAUUGCUCAAUGGAAUCUAAAGAGGCUGAUGAGCAAAAACAAGGCGAAGAUGGAAGCUGCCCAAUAAGUGAACUGUCGGUCCCCGAAAGUUUCCGGCGACUCAUGGCCAAUAGUGAUGGUGGUUACAUGUUUGUUCGACAGGUACACCGACCAUCUCCUUACCAACAGUACAACCAAAGCAGAAUCCAGACCAUGAAGGAGUAUGAUUGGACCCCCAUCCCACCCCGCGGCUCUAUCAUGUGUCAUGGGGAUGUCCCCUCCCCUACGACCAUCUACACAGACAAGGGAAUCCCCAUAUCUGUCAUCCACCGCUUCCCUUCAGACACUUCCUGCUCUGUGCAGUCCAGUCCAGCUACUGCACACAUCCAGCAGGGUUCACAAAGCCUUGCAAACCCUAGGCCCAAGUUCAACACCUUUAUCCCUCACCAUGCUGGUUUUUUAUUCCCCUGGUUCAAUGUUUAACUGUCAUAGUGUCCACCAGACAACUCCCUCAUACUCUCAUUACAGCUACUACCAGCCAACCUGUCCUGUGGGGUUUUUGUAUCAUGACAAUCAAAACCAGGACUGGCAGAGCAGGGAAAACAAGGAGACCAAGAAGAGUGAAGUCAACUUGGACACAGUUUUCCAGAUAGUGGACGAGCUGCACCACAGUUCCCCCAAAAUACGCAUGGUCAAACUGUAAACCCCAGAGCGCCAGCAGCCGGUCCUGGCCACCUCUAUAUCAUCAGGGCCCCAGCCCACCACCAAUAUCAACAGCUCACCAUCUCUUCCCAGAUUGACUCCUCUGUCAAAUCCAGCUUCCUGCCUGGCACAAUACUGAUGGAUGCCAGCACAGUGACUCCACGAGGGUCCACCAUUAUAACAGUCCCGGUGAACAUUCCUUCUCAGGGAAUUGCCAUCAUGGUCGGUGGUCAUGCAGCUGAUCAGCCAGUCAAGAGGGAGGAGGAACCUUUGCCUGUCGACGCCUAUCAGAAGGUUAGCUAGCCUAGCUUAGUAAAAACAUGGUACAUGGAGGCUAUUAUUCAUCAAGAAACAAACCAGUGUACCUAAGCUCAUCUUAUAGUUUAAUAAUUUGGGGUUUAAAGAAUUUAGAAUCCGUAUUCCUUGGUAAUAAAUAUUUUAAAAAACAUGUAUCGUAUGGAUGGUCAUCAGGGAUCCUGAUGAACUCUGUUUUAUAAUGAGGUUGAUCAUGCUGUGAUUUAUCCCAGUGCCCUAAGGAAGCAUCCAAGUACAUCACCAAGGUGAAGGACGUAAAGGAGAUCAGAGGCAUUUAGGUUUUUAGCUAAAAUGUCCUUGUACUGAGUAAAGUUCAUGAUACCACCACCACAUUUUAGAGUAGUUAUGGGGUUCUU